rnacentral:rRNA from 2 species
GUGAUCUAGCCAUGGGCAGGUUGAAGGUUGGGUAACACUAACUGGAGGACCGAACCGACUAAUGUUGAAAAAUUAGCGGAUGACCUGUGGCUGGGGGUGAAAGGCCAAUCAAACCGGGAGAUAGCUGGUUCUCCCCGAAAGCUAUUUAGGUAGCGCCUCGUGAAUUCAUCUCCGGGGGUAGAGCACUGUUUCGGCUAGGGGGCCAUCCCGGCUUACCAACCCGAUGCAAACUGCGAAUACCGGAGAAUGUUAUCACGGGAGACACACGGCGGGUGCUAACGUCCGUCGUGAAGAGGGAAACAACCCAGACCGCCAGCUAAGGUCCCAAAGUCAUGGUUAAGUGGGAAACGAUGUGGGAAGGCCCAGACAGCCAGGAUGUUGGCUUAGAAGCAGCCAUCAUUUAAAGAAAGCGUAAUAGCUCACUGGUCGAGUCGGCCUGCGCGGAAGAUGUAACGGGGCUAAACCAUGCACCGAAGCUGCGGCAGCGACACUGUGUGUUGUUGGGUAGGGGAGCGUUCUGUAAGCCUGUGAAGGUGUGUCGUGAGGC